rnacentral:lncRNA from 1 species
UUGGCCUCAGGCUGCUGCACUGUCACCGGUCUUUUCUCCGGCGACCACUGGCCUGAUUCCCCAACUUUCCCCGCAAUGCUGGUGGUUGUGGCGACAUGGGAAGUCGGUGGCUUUUGAGGCUCAUGCAGGGAUUGUUUGGUUAACUGAAGUGAGGCCAUGUAACACCUAUGCAGCUUGGCAGUUAAAGUAGCUGAAAGAAGCUUGGAAGACGACGACUGGGAGGCGUUGGGAUUGUAAGGGAAGUUGGUUCUCGCCCUCGGACCACACAUGAGCCUCGCCGCCUCGUCAUAGGCCCGAGCAGCGUCCUCCGCCGUUUCGAAUGUGCCCAGCCAAAUUCUAGUCUUCCUGCACAAACCCGAAACGUUUCAAUUAGCAACUUGGAAGUGAACACCGAAACGUGAACGAAACCGAAACCGAAACCGAAACCGAAACAUGUACAUGUUCAUGUGUUUUAACUUACAGAAGUGGGUGGCGAAUUUCAGAGACCCAACUGCCCCAAUGCCUCUGUCGGACGCCUCGAUAUCGCUGCUGAGGUCUGGCCAUGUUAGAGUUAUUAAAGAAAGGAAAGAAAACGUUUCGUGCGGGGAGUGUUUGUGAAAAUGCCUGA